rnacentral:rRNA from 1 species
UACGUAGGUGGCAAGCGUUGUCCGGAAUUAUUGGGCGUAAAGCGCGCGCAGGCGGUCUCUUAAGUCUGAUGUGAAAGCCCACGGCUUAACCGUGGAAGGUCAUUGGAAACUGGGAGACUUGAGUGCAGAAGAGAAGAGCGGAAUUCCACGUGUAGCGGUGAAAUGCGUAGAGAUGUGGAGGAACACCAGUGGCGAAGGCGGCUCUUUGGUCUGUAACUGACGCUGAGGCGCGAAAGCGUGGGGAUCAAACAGG